rnacentral:piRNA from 1 species
UUCCUCUCUGCCAGCCGUUUUGCGUCUC